UGUGAGGUUGAAAGAUGUUUGCUCCAUGACGAAAGAGAAGACGGCUAGACUCAUUCCCAAUGCCAUCCAGCUGUGUACAGACAGUGAAAAGCACUUUUUUACCUCAUUCGGGGCAAGAGAUCGGACAUACAUGAUGAUGUUCAGACUCUGGCAAAAUGCUCUUCUGGACAAGCCAUUGUGUCCCAAAGAGCUGUGGCACUUUGUCCAUCAGUGUUAUGGGAAUGAACUGGGUCUAACCAGUGAUGAUGAGGAUUACGUACCUC